UGAAAGUCAUGCAGACCUUCAAAUUGACUAUGGGCUAUUUUCAGUCCUCAUCCUAUUGUUGCUCCUGCAGCACCGAUCCCUGCUGACAGCUCUCUUCUGGAAAUGCUCACAUACUUGACUUUGGAAACACCCUGACUCUGUUCUCCUCCAGUCUAAUUGGUAGUUCUUUCUCAGUUUCCUCUGAGACCAACUCUUCCAUAGACUUCUGAUUUUGCCCAAUUGAUUGGACUCCAAGGAAAAUAUAUUUUUAAUGCUUUGGAGGAAAAUUUGUAUUGAAGAAAGGAAGUCUGGUAGCAUCUGUCUACAAUCUUUGGAUCAGGGAUCUGGUCCUUCUAAUCCAUACCUGUGAUCAUCCUGAAUUUUGGCCAGUCUACCAUUUUAUGAAAGGAGGAAAUUUGGACAUAGAUACAGGAAGACGACAGCCACCUACAUGCUAAGGUGAGAGACCUCAGAAGAAACCCUGCCAACACCUCGAUCCCUGACUUCUAUUUUUACCCCUCCCCCAUGCACUUGAUCUCUGACUUCUAGACUCCAGAAUUGUGAGAAGUAAAUUUCUAUUGUUUAAGUUACCAGUCUGUGGUAGUUUGUGAUAGCCUGAGCAAACUCAUACAUAUGAAAUGUGGGAAAUUUGAUUAAAAGGCUAACAGUUUUUAUGAAAACUGUUCCCAAAUGAUUCCACAUGUUUUCAGUAUUCUUGGCCAAAGCCUGGAUUAUAAUGAGCAAGAGGUAGGAAUAAAUUAACUUUCUAAUUUUUAAGCACCAUAUGUGUUGAAACUUAGGU